rnacentral:rRNA from 1 species
GACGAGCCUCACAAACGUUAUUCGGAAUUACUGGGCUUAAAGGGUGCGUAGGCGGCGCGGAAGGUUGGGUGUGAAAUCCCUCGGCUCAACCGAGGAACUGCGCCCAAAACUGCCGUGCUCGAGGAAGAUAGAGGUGAGCGGAACUUACGGUGGAGCGGUGAAAUGCGUUGAUAUCGUAAGGAACACCCGUGGCGAAAGCGGCUCACUGGGUCUUUUCUGACGCUGAUGCACGAAAGCUAGGGGAGCAAACGGG